CAGGCACGCCUACUGAAAUCACUCAACCAAUUGAAGAAACAGAAUGAGAUUUGGAUUAUAGGGUUUCAGAUAAUACCAAGUCCCUUGUGAAAGGUUCCAUAAAGCUGCAAUGAACAAAGGUUAUUAAGUUCCUGCUGUGUUCAAGUUUCCUACAGAUAAUCUACUGACACAGUCAUUUUUCCCACUCUUGCAUCUCAACUCUGCAGUUUAUUAAUCCAGCCUACAUCAUUUUUAUUGUUCCAGCUUUUUGACUUCUGACGACUUCAGUUCAAGUCCCAGUUGGGCUCCUGAUCAGUAGGGUAGCUGAUUUCCCAAUAAAGAGAGAAAGGAAAUGUGUAAACUUGUUGAAGUGCUCCACAAGCUCCAGCUUGCAAACCUCACAGAGGCUGCAGUCCAUCCAGUGCACAGACUCUCACCUAAUACAACAUACUAGUUCCAGAAUCAUAGAUGCAUAAACUAGAAGAUCCAUUGAGCUUUCAAGAUCCAAUACAGAUUUGCUUAUACGUGGCAGUAAAAGCAAGAUGAAGAAAGCACGGGACUAAUGGAUUCAUACAGAUCUCUUCAGGUAUUUUCAGUAUCUUGUUUUCCUGAGAAUAAUUAAAAAUAAGAUACAUAUUAUCUUGAAUCUUUAAACAGUUAUUAUUUUUUUUUUACAGUUAGAGACACAAUAGAUUUUAGAGCUAUACAUUUCUCACCUUUUUUUCUAAAAUAUUUAGAUAACAUCUAUUUCUCUCUUUGACUUUCACUAUGUAGCAUGCAUUCCUGAAAUUGUUAUCUUGGAUUUUCAGCAGCAUUAAUAACCCAUUUAUUAGUAUUAAUUAAUAUUCUAAUAAUCAGAGUAAAAUAGUCUGAAAGCAUUAACUAAUAUGUCCUGUAGCAGAAACUUUAAGCUUAAAAUUAGAUUUAUUUUUUUUUAUUAAAAGCAAAAACAAUAUUACAGCUGUGUUAGAAAAGGUCUAGUGUUGAAAGAGUUGUGAACCAGUGAUUAUAUUCACUACAUAGUAAGAGAGUUCCCUUUGAAAUACUGACAAAUGUUUGUUUUGCCAAAAAUGAAGUGGGUUUCUUCAACAAAUCACUAAAAGUCUGUCUGGUACUUCUAAGCCCAGAAAAGCAAUGUUGCUAAAGGAAAAUAUUGACUCCCUUUUUUGUUUGCUACAAAAUAUAGCAUAAUGCAUCUGCCUGAAGGGCAAAAAUCUCUGAAAAUCAUUGAACUGAGAAUGGUUGUAUAUUCUGCACAAUUUCAGAAGUGGCAUUUCAGUAAUGAUCCAUGGCAAGGGGCUCCACAUCUAAAAUAUUCUUUGGUAAAAACUAGUUAUAUUUAAUGAGAUAAAAAUAGAUGAAAGUUUUGGCAAUGAAAAGAACGACCUGGACUAUGCUAAGAAAUGUACUGUACUAUGAAAAAAAUAUAUAGAUAGUAUUUCCCUUAUGAUGACACUUCAAAAGAUGAAGUCUGUAAGAUACAAGAAUCUUUGUGCUUGUAUAUUUAGCAGAGUUUACUUCCUAACAAAUAAGAUUUCAUAAUUGUUGUUGAUUUCUGAGUUGUUUUUCAGAACAGUGUAUCUUAAGCAUGAAAUGAAAAUUACAGGUAUGGUAAUUCACCUAAUUUAUCCAUUUAUAAUUGCUGAAAAGCAUGGAACUACUAGAAGUGAACUUACCCUUUACAAUUACAGACUUGAAGGGAAUAGUAAGAAUUGUUUAGAGGGAGUUUGAGCGUUGAUAAAGGAUGCUGCAAAUCUGAUAAAGAAAUCUAUUAAAAUGUUGUAAUUGUGCAUCAGUUAUAUAAAAAAAUAUUUUUAGAUGACGUGACAAAAAAUCAUAGAAUUGUAAAGCCUAAAGAAGAACAGAUAAUGCAAUUAUAACAAGAUACAGGUGAGCUACUUAAAUUACCAUAUUCCACUUAACAACUCAGUGAUCAUAAUCAUUUUACAAUUCUGUUCUAUACAGUGUUAGAAGAGUAAUUUAGAAAAUCAUUACCUCCAUCUAGUGGCGAUUCCCUGAAAUUUUCACUUACAACUACGCUUCCACAGGGAAGUAUGCCCCAAGCUUUGAUUCUACCUUGUUACACCUUGAAAAGCAACAGGAAAACAAACAAACAAACAAACAAACAAACAAACAAAAACAACCAGCAAUCCACUUGAUUUAUUAAAGAAAAGCUAUAUUUUAUUUUUUAGUACUGAAGUUAGUUCCAAAACCUAUGUUUGAGAGUUUAGAUUUUAUUUAAGGAAACUCAUUCGGCAGCAGUGCCCACAUCUCUUCCAAGAAUGGUGCUCAAAAUAUCUUGUAAAGAAAGUCAGCAUCACUCCUCACACAGUACAGCUUGGGAAGCUGAGGCAGGGGAAAAUUAGACAAUUUCAACAAGUGCUAGAAUGUAGAAAGAGCCCCGGCCUCACCAGCUGCUCAGGUCAGUUUUCUCCCCACAGAGAAACAAGAUGAGAGUGGCUACUUCUCCUUUGUUAUCUUUGGAUCAGCUAAAGAACAAACUGAUAGUGACUGGCAUGCCAUAAUAACGCCACAAGUGUUACAAUUUAGAGGAGCAAGCCAUAUCACUGCAACCACCACCUUAGCCAUUACAAGUAGUCCCGUUUGCAUUCUACUGAGACAAUAUAAACACUCAUUAAACAUCAAAUCUGCUUAUUCAGUCCCGAGUGGUGUACAACAGAACCAACGAGGCAGCAUGGCAUGAAGUUUACACUGCCACACCCCAGUGAUCUACCUUAUUAUAAAGAAAAUAAACAGGCCAAGUCUCCAGAGCAAUUACUGUCAUUUUCUGGAAGCCUUUAAUCCAGAUGAAGUCAUUUUGGAUAUUCUUGU